AUUCAGUGUUUGGGUGAAGACGGAGGCGGGUUCUGGACAGACCUACGCUGUCGGGGAGUGUUUACUUCGCCUCCACUUCUGUUCCUCCCCGCCCUGGUGCUGCUCCAGGUCACAUACUCUUCCUGAGCCGGCUUCAGCCUCUCCGCGCAGAAGUCUCCCGGAGCCAUGGCCUAGUAUUCUUAUGUGAAGUCUACCAAGCUUGUGCUCAAGGGAACCGAGAUUUGCCUGAGGUUGACUGUACAUGCAAAUAUUGAGCUUUCCUCCUGGCCUCCGUGAUAAACAGAAGUUUUGAUAUUGUUAGGCGAGAUGGAAAGAAAGUAUCAAGGAGUGAGCUGAAGCCACUGCCCUUGAGAACCCUCUCGAGGAGUCUGGCCUCAUGAAGAUGCCAGAAUAAAUGGCAGUAAGAAGAAAAAGAGCAAAGAUAAGAAGAGAAAAAGAGAAGAUGAAGAAACCCAGCUUGAUAUGUUGAGGAACGCAGCUGCUCACCAGCAACGGAACAAAGCUGGACGGAGAAUGACUUUGAAGAGCUGAGAGAAGGCUUCAGACGAUCAAAUUACUCUGAGCUACGGGAGGACAUUCAAACCAAAGGCAAAGAAGUUGAAAACUUUGAAAAAAAUAAAUGUACAUUAAUUAACGUGGAAUCUGGUGAACAGUAACAAACUUUGGUGAAAUUUCAGGAACCAUAGCCAUUGAAGUGGAUGAGGGAACCUAUAUACAUGCACUCAACAAUGGUCUUUUUACCCUGGGAGCUCCACACAAAGAAGAAUCGCCCUGAAACCUGGCUAUGGAAAAUAUCUUAGUAUAAAUUCAGAUGAACUUGUUGUUGGCGUUCAGAUGCAAUUGGACCAAGAGAACAAUGGGAACCAGUCUUUCAAAAUGAUGGCCAUCCAGUAAUGAGAAUGAACAGUCUCCAACUAAAGGCAACAAUAUAGAUGAAUCUCGGAAACAUGAUAUUGACCAGACAGAAAAGAUUCCACUUACAUAAACUUCAAAAGAAGAUAAAACUGAUCUAUGACAUUAAUAGUCAGAAUAUUCAUUAUCCUUGAGGGAACUAAACUGGGAAGCCACAUGAUAGGGCAUCUGGAAGCUAGUAAUGUCCUCUUUCUUGAUCUGUUACAUUGGUGUGUUUAUUUCAUUAGAUUUAUUGAGCUAUACAUUUACCACCGUGUACUUGUCUCUGUAUAUGUUUUGCAUUGAAAUAAAUUUUACCAAUAAAAUGAUAAAGCAAAAUAAAGCAUUAACUGCUUACUGUUUUCAAUAAUAUGCUCCUCUCUCCAAGAGGCCCCCCAUACAGGUGAAAGUGCCCUGAAUUAUGACCCCAAAUAUGGCCUAAUGGCAGGAUAUCUGAAACUAUAGUAACAGGAUGUUGGAAAAAAAAGUUUCCCUGGGAUAAUCGAAUACAACAAAAGGGGUAUUCC
rnacentral:lncRNA from 1 species